UUUCAGGAGUGUUCCUGAAGGUCUCAGGAUUGUUCUAGGGGGUCUCAUGAGCGUUCUAUGGAGUCUCAGAGGCUUUCCGGGGGGAUUCAAGGGCAUUUCAGGGAUCCCAGGGGAUUUCAGGGGGCACUUAGUGGUCUCAUGAGCGUUUCAGGGUGUCUCAAAGGGUAUCGGGAGGACUCAGAAGCAUUUCAUUCUAUUGGAACGCUCCUGAAAUCCCCGUGUUUCAUUUGAAAUACCUUUGAACACCCUUAAACACCCAAGACCCCUCCAGAAAAAAAAAACACUCAAAGCCCGUGUAACGUUCCUGAAAUGCCCCUUAACUUCUAUUACCUCAUUGAAACACCCUUGAAAUCUCCGUUUCAUUUGUAAUGGCUCUGAAGCUCUUGGAAUACCCUUAAAACGUUCUUGACUCCCCUUCUAAUGAAACGAUUCUGAAAAUCACAGAAAACGUCCCUGAAAUGCUAUUAAAUGCCUCUAAAUUUUUCAGAAUACACUUAGAACGAUCCUGAAACCCUCUGACACUCUAUGAAAUGCCUUGAAACGUCCAUUAAAGGCUUCUGUGACCUUAAGGUCCCUUGCAACGUCUCUGAUUCUGCCGUAAUACUAUUGAAACGACAAUGAAAUCUCCUUGUUUUCUUUGAAAAGCGCACAAAACCUGUCGGAGCGCCUCUAAAAGGCUAUUGAAAUCCUCUUAAACGCCCCUGAAGUCCCUUGGAAUUCCCUUUUUUGACUCUCCGGGAGCUUCCUGCGGCAUCUUAUCCCCAUCUCAAAUGCCCAGCAGCAAGGCCUGUUCUCGGGAACUGAAUUUCCCCAUUGAAAUCCUGACUUAAUUCUGCACAAAAGCCCCUCUUUUUUGUCUUAUUUGAUUUUUUUUAGCGAUUUUUAUUUAUGCACCGCCAGCCCACAGCGUAAAAGAGGUCCCAGUGUAUAAUCGUAGACGUGGUUAUUUACAGUAGCGUAGAAAUGUUGAAAAAGUUUUUGGAUAAUGACUUUUCUUUUUGAAAAGAAUAUCCUGAAUAAAAUUGUCCGGCUCCAAAUCAGUCGUUUAAUUGUAAUGCACAUUUAGUGAAAUUGAACUCUGAAAUUCUGAGGUAUGAUUGGACCUGCUCAAUUUCAGGAUUAUUCGAGAAUUUUAUAGAGAAACUAUUGAAACUUUUAGGAGUAUUUUUUCAGAAUUUAUUUUAAAUGUCCUAAGAGAAAUGUGAUUGUGUUCUUGAAAGAUUUUACGAAAUUAAUGACAAAAUUCCCGGAAAAUCCAUGGAUUUGUUGAGGAAAUUGGAAAUAUUGUUCAGAAUGGGUCCAGAGCCGUAUUUACGAAGACAAAAAUGUUUGUGCCGAAACCAUAAGUUUUAGAUACAUCGUGUCUUUGGGAAAGUUUCAUCUUAUUUUUCGUCCUUUUUUCUUAUUAUUGUGGAGUUAGGGUGGUCCCUCUAGUUUAGCUGAUCUAAGCAUCUGCUUUUUAAUAGUUUUAUGUAUGUUCACAAAAUGUUCUACAAAGUUGUAAAAGAACUUAUUUGGAGAAAGUUUGCCAAAGAAACCAUUAUUCUAUCUCUUAUGGUUCUUAACCUAUGAUUUUUAAAGAAUUCUUCCAUGAAAUUCAGUUUUCUUGAAAUAACUUUUAAUUCGUUCGUUUCUCGUAAAUACUUUGUUCCGAGAAGUUUUAGAACUAUCAACGACGCAUAUUUUUUCCAAAGAGCUCAAUGUUCUAACUCUCAUGGUUAGAAGGAUAUUGGCAUUUUUCUUCGAAAAAUCACUUUUAUUCAAAAAGUCAUAUCUCAAAAAGGAGUAAAUGGAUUUUCAAUCUCUCGAUUGCAUUGGAAAGAUCGUGCUUUGUUCUAUUUAUGGUGAAAAAACUGCAGGUACCUUUUUGGUUUGAAAUCUUUUAUUGAAUUUUGAAAGCAGUUGUAACGUUGAAAAUUGAUGUGAUACGAACUUGGCGUCUUCGACAAAAUUGUGAGUUUUUGACUGUUCUAAAAGUGCCCAGAACAAAGUAUUGUGAAAAAAUCAACACAUAAAAUUAUAUUGAGUAAAAACCGAUUUUCAUAUGAAAAACGACACACUCCGAGCAAAUUCAACUCGUCUUUGUUAGAUAGAUCAAAGUAGCUUAGUAAAUGGUCAUCCAUUUCAUUCUAGAACCAACGUUUAUUUAUACAGUGGUUUUUCGGUUUUAUCACGAUCAAAAAAAAUUUUACCGUGAUAUAAACGAAACCGUAAAUUUAGUGAAACGAGAAAAAUAUGUAAAUUUUUUAUUCAAAAUCAUUCAGCUGCACAAUGUAUGAGCUGUAGUUCACAUUUUUGAACAGUUUUGGUGGACUGGGCAAGGCUGUAUUGGUUUUCUAUUGAUUUCGGAAUGUUUUAGAACAAGUGUGAUAAAAACGAAACGAAAAUCGAGAUAAAAUCGAAUAGAAAACCGUGAAUUCGGGCGAGUAGUGAUUAAAACGACUAGUGAUAAAACCGAAACGCCACUGUACUGUCAUCGCCAUUAAGGCACACUGUUGAUAAAAUAUUUUAGAGCAGCCAAAACUCACAAUUUUGUCGAAGACGCCGAGUUCGUAUCUCAUCGAUUUUCAACGUUACAACUGCUUUUCCAUGAAAAAAAUCGUACUUUCAAAAUUCAAAAAAAAGCUUCAAACAAAAAAAGGUACCUGCAGUUUUUUCACCAAAAAUAGAACAGAAUACGAUCUUUCCAAUGCAACCGAGAGAUUGAAAAUCCAUUUGCUCCUUUUUGAUAUAUGACUUUUUGAAUAACUGUGAUUUUUCGAAGGAAAAUGUCAAUAUCUUUUUAACCAUGAGAGUUAGAGCAUCGAGCUCUUGGAAAAAAUAUGCGUCAUUGAUAGUUCUAAAAGUGCUCGGAACAAAGUAUUUACGAGAAACGAACGAAUUAAAAGUUAUUUCAAUAAAACUGAAUUUCAUGGAUCACCCUAACAUGAAUCUUUUAAAAAAUUAUAAGUUAGGAACCAUAAGAGAUAGAAUAAUGGUUUCUUAGGCAAACUUUCUCCAAAUAAGUUCUUCUACAACUUUGUAGAACAUUUUGUAUACGUACAUAAAACUAUUAAAAAGCAGAUGUUUGGAUCAGCUAAACUAGAGGGACCACCCUAAUUUCACAAUAAUGAGAAAAAAAGUCGAAAAAUAAGAAGAAACUUUCCCAAAGACACUAUGUAUCUAAAACUUAAGGUUUCGACCCAAACAUUUUUGUCUUCGUAAAUACGGCUCUGGACCAAUUGUGCAUUGGUUAUUGAGAGUAUCUAUAAAGUUUUGAAAAAAGUCUUGUAAAAAUGUACUCGUCCAAUUCUGUCAAAAAAUGUGUAGAAUUUUCUCGGGAAAAUUUAGUCAGACAUUCAGUCACAAUUUUCAAUAGAACCUAAACAUGGGUGCCCACAAAAAUUUCUUCAAUAAUUUUCAGCUAAAAAUAGCGCUAUUGAAUUUCUAUUUAUUUUGAACUUUCACUAGAAAUUCAUUUCAAAAAUAUUUCUAAAUUUUUGGCAAGUUGCUAGAAAUGAUUGUUCUAUAACUUUAAAUGCGAUUAGUAUUGUGAUAUAUUUAUCCUCUCGUUUGAAAGUAAUUGGGAACAAUACAUAGGGUUCCUUGGAAUCUUAAAAUAUCUCGAAUAGGCUCAUUUUUUUCUGUAUUUUUUCAUCUGACGUUUUCACUCAGAAAAUCCCAAUUUCCCGAGGUGUUUUUGGCCGUUUUUCAAGACAAUGGAUGUGCAAUUUUUAAAAUUCCUUCCAAACAUUCUUUGAUUUUUUAAUGACUUGAGCUGAUUCAGACCAAAAUAAACAAAAAAAUUUGAAAAAAGUGAUAGUGUUGCCAGUUUGUAAAUUAUGGAUAUGAAUUAAUUACAAAUGUAUGAAAUAUAUCUUAUUUUCUUCAUCAAUAUUUCCGACGAAAGACUGCCAAAUAUGUUGAUUUUAUUGUGAUCAUAUAAAUAAAUAAAUAAAUCUGUAUAAAUAAAUAAUGAAUAUUUAAUCAAGUCAUCAUUCCAAAUUUAUUAUUUUCUGUUUUUGUGAUAACUCUAUCACAUUUGACAACUCUGAGUCUUGUUAGUUUUCGUUUGGUGUAAAACUUAUUGUCUGGGGGAAAACUAGAAUAAAAGCAGUAGUUAACUUUAUUUUAUGAGAAUUAUACCUGUUAAGUGCGCCACAACGAUAACCCAAGCAGCGGUAUCUGAACCCCUUUAUACGCCACUGUAUGAUGCUCUAGCGAAUAAAAGGCUAUCAGUUGAACGCAUCUGACAACGAAGUUUCUACGCACACGCAGUACAAUUGGAUGUAAUUCGACAGUGCCAAAACAAACAACGGUGAAAUAGUUGCGUGGAAAAUUGAAGAUCGAUCACUAGAAGUAGGAAUAUAUAAUUGAUUGUUUGUAUUUAGUAAUAAGUAACCUGAAUUGUAUUUUUUGUAGGAAUUUAAUAAUUAUAUUCACACUGGAGUAAAUUAUCGAAUUUUGAUCGACUUUCCUACUCUACUUUCUCGCAACAAUACCCAUAAUUCAUGAAUUGGUAGUACUCUCACAUUUUCCCACGUUUUCCUAAAUUAUCAUGCCUUAAAUCUGACCAAAACGUUUUUAAAUUACGUUGAAGAGUGUUUACUUCUAAAAAUUAUAUACUACAUCUGAUAUUAUAGAAAAACUUCAUUCUCUUAUUAUUUGGUAUUUUUUACAAAAAUUUCCGUGUUUCCAUGUGCUUUAGAUUUUUACAAUAAAAUGAAAAUAUUUGGCAACACUUACAUGAAUAAUAAUAUAGAAAUAUAUUCACGGUAGUUCAUUUACCGUUAUUAUAAAAAAAAAUACCAUCAAAAUCUGAAACGCCAUUCUCUUUCUUCAUCAUUCCUACACCUUUGGACAAAUUAAAAAAAAAAUCGUUAGACGAAAUUUUGAGUUACGCCCUUUUAAAGGGCCUAACCCCUAAAAAACCAGGGUUUCUAUAGAAAAACAUCAUAUUUCAUAACAGAAGCAUGUUUCUGCCAUCAAAAUUUGAAACGCCAUUCUCUUCCUUUAUCAUUUCUACACCUCUGGACAAAUUUUGAAAAUAAUCGUUAGACGAAUUUUCGAGUUACGCCCUUUAAAGGGGUUAGGCUAAAAAAUGAGGGUUUCUAUACAAAAACAUCAUAUUUCAUAACAGAAGCAUGCUUCUGCCAACAAAAUUUGAAACGCCAUUCUCUUUCUUUAUCAUUCCUACACCUCUGGAUAAAUUUUAAAAAUAAUCGUUAGACGAAAUUUUGAGUUACGCCCU